UACGGAGGGUGCGAGCGUUGCCCGGAAUCACUGGGCGUAAAGGGCGCGUAGGCGGCUCAUGAAGGCUGUGGUGAAAGUCCGGGGCUCAACCUCGGAUCGGCCGUGGCGACUCGUGGGCUGGAGCACUGUAGAGGCGGGUGGAAUUCCGGGUGUAGCGGUGGAAUGCGUAGAGAUCCGGAAGAACACCAGUGGCGAAGGCGGCCCGCUGGGCAGUGGCUGACGCUGAGGCGCGACAGCGUGGGGAGCAAACAGG
rnacentral:rRNA from 1 species